rnacentral:ncRNA from 1 species
CGAAGUUUCCCUCAGGAUAGCUGGAGCACGCAACGUUUCGGAACCUAUUCUUAUCUGGUAAAGCGAAUAAUUAGAGGCCUUAGGUUCGAAAUGAUCUUAACCUAUUCUCAAACUAUAAAUGGGUACGUACCAUAGCAUUCUUGCAUGAUGCUGUUGCAACGUUGACGCCGGGUCGCCCCCCUGCCAGGGUGUGCCAUCCACAAGCGGCGUAGAAGAUAUCUGUGUGCUUAGUGGGCCAAGUUUUGGUAAGCAGAACUGGUGCUGUGGGAUGAACCAAACGUAAUGUUACGGCGCCUAAAUAAACGACGCAUCAUAGAUACCAUGAAUACCAUGAAACAACACCUUUCCAACACCAAUUGCUACAGACAGCAGGACGGUGGACAUGGAAGUUGUCAUCCGCUAAGGAGUGUGUAACAACUCACCUGCCGAAUCUCCAUUUCUUUUGAGAACUGAACUUUCUAUAAGAAUCUAUUUAACAUUGAGAGCCUCUCAUUGAUAAG